GAACGAAAAUCCGUUGGUUUCACAGGACCGUGAGGGUUCGACUCCCUCUAUCCCCAACG
rnacentral:tRNA from 1 species